AGUGAAUAGAUACCCGGGUAGUCCACACCGUAAACGAUGGAUACUUGCCGUUGGAGGUAUUGACCCCUUCAGUGGCGAAAGCUAAACGCGUUAAGUAUCCCGCCUGGGGAGUACGGUCGCAAGAUUAAAACUCAAAGAAAUUGACGGGGCCCGCACAAGCGGUGGAGCAUGUGGUUUAAUUCGAUGCAACGCGAAGAACCUUACCUGGUCUUGACAUGUACUGGAAGACUGCCAGAAAUGGCGUCGCCCGCAAGGGCCGGUACACAGGUGCUGCAUGGCUGUCGUCAGCUCGUGUCGUGAGAUGUUGGGUUAAGUCCCGCAACGAGCGCAACCCUUGCCUUUAGUUGCCAGCAUUCAGUUGGGCACUCUAGAGGGACUGCCGACGUUAAGUCGGAGGAAGGUGGGGAUGACGUCAAGUCCUCAUGGCCCUUAUGACCAGGGCUACACACGUGCUACAAUGGUGGUCACAGAGGGAAGCCAACCCGCGAGGGGAGCUAAUCCCGAAAAAGCCAUCUAAGUUCAGAUUGCAGUCUGCAAC
rnacentral:rRNA from 1 species